rnacentral:rRNA from 1 species
UGGGGAAUUUUGGACAAUGGGCGAAAGCCUGAUCCAGCCAUGCCGCGUGAGUGAAGAAGGCCUUCGGGUUGUAAAGCUCUUUUAGUCGGAAAGAAAGAGUUGCAAUGAAUAAUUGUGAUUUAUGACGGUACCGACAGAAAAAGCACCGGCUAACUACGUGCCAGCAGCCGCGGUAAUACGAAGGGUGCAAGCGUUACUCGGAAUUACUGGGCGUAAAGCGUGCGUAGGUGGUUGUUUAAGUCUGAUGUGAAAGCCCUGGGCUCAACCUGGGAAUGGCAUUGGAAACUGGGCAGCUAGAGUGCGGUAGAGGGUAGUGGAAUUCCCGGUGUAGCAGUGAAAUGCGUAGAGAUCGGGAGGAACAUCUGUGGCGAAGGCGACUGCCUGGACCAGCACUGACACUGAGGCACGAAAGCGUGGGGAGCAAAC